rnacentral:rRNA from 1 species
GAUCAUGGCUCAGGAUGAACGCUAGCGGGAGGCCUAACACAUGCAAGCCGAGCGGUAGAGAUUCUUCGGAAUCUUGAGAGCGGCGUACGGGUGCGGAACACGUGUGCAACCUACCUUUAUCUGGAGGAUAGCCUUUCGAAAGGAAGAUUAAUACUCCAUAAUAUAUUGAUUGGCAUCAAUUGAUAUUGAAAGCUCCGGCGGAUAGAGAUGGGCACGCGCAAGAUUAGUUAGUUGGUGAGGUAACGGCUCACCAAGACGAUGAUCUUUAGGGGCCUGAGAGGGUGAUCCCCCACACUGGUACUGAGACACGGACCAGACUCCUACGGGAGGCAGCAGUGAGGAAUAUUGGUCAAUGGGUGCAAGCCUGAACCAGCCAUCCCGCGUGAAGGACGACUGCCCUAUGGGUUGUAAACUUCUUUUGUAUAGGGAUAAACCUACCCUCGUGAGGGUAGCUGAAGGUACUAUACGAAUAAGCACCGGCUAACUCCGUG